rnacentral:rRNA from 1 species
GCGCGGAGCACGAGGAAUUCUGCGUGAAUCUGCCGGGACCAUCCGGUAAGGCUAAAUACUCCCGAGAGACCGAUAGUGAACCAGUACUGUGAAGGAAAGGUGAAAAGCACUUCGAACAGAAGAGUGAAAUAGUUCCUGAAACCAUGUGCCUACAAGCGGUCGGAGCACCUUCUGGUGUGACGGCGUGCCUUUUGCAUAAUGAACCUACGAGUUACUUUUUCCGGCGAGGUUAAGGAUUUCAGAUCUGCAGCCGAAGCGAAAGCGAGUCUGAACAGGGCGUAUAGUCGGAAGGAGUAGACGCGAAACCAAGUGAUCUACCCUUGGGCAGGUUGAAGGAUGGGUAACACCAUCUGGAGGACCGAACCAAUAAGCGUUGAAAAGCUUCUGGAUGACCUGAGGGUGGGGGUGAAAGGCUAAUCAAACUUGGAGAUAGCUCGUACUCCCCGAAAUGCAUUUAGGUGCAGCCUUGACUUAUACUGGCAUGAGGUAGAGCGACUGAUAAGAUGCGAGGGCUUCACCGCCUAUCAAGUCUUGACAAACUCCGAAUGCGUGUCAGUUCUAUGUCAGGAGUGAGGGCAUGGGUGCUAAGGUCCAUGUCCUAAAGGAGAACAAUCCGGACCAACAGCUAAGGUCCCGAAAUGAAUACUAAGUUGAACUAACGAAGUCAGAUUGCUAAGACAGCUAGGAUGUUGGCUUGGAAGCAGCCAUUCAUUUAAAGAGUGCGUAACAGCUCACUAGUCGAGGAGUUUGGCGUGGAUAAUAAUCGGGCAUAAGUAUUCUACCGAAGCUUUGGGAUGAGAAAUCAUCGGUAGGGGAGCAUUCCACUCGGCGUCGAAGGUGAAGCGCGAGCUUUGCUGGAGCGUGUGGAAAAGCAAAUGUAGGUAUAAGUAACGAUAAAGGGGGUGAGAAACCCCCUCGCCGAAAGACUAAGGUUUCCUGAUCAACGCUAAUCGGAUCAGGGUAAGUCGGGUCCUAAGGCUCAGCCGAACGGCGAGGCCGAUGGCAGAACCGGUUAAUAUUCCGGUACUACCUGUGGGAGUGACGUGGAGACGGAGUCGUGACAGCGCCGCGGACUGACGGAAUAGUCCGUUGAAGGGUGUAGAUGCUGAUUGUUCCAGGCAAAUCCGGAGCAAGAGUCGAACCUGAUAGUAUGGAGCGUUCUUAGAACAAUCCAAUAGUGCGUGUAAUCAUACUUCCAAGAAAAUCCGCUAAACUUAAUCCUGCAGGUACCCGUACCGCAAACGGACACACGUAGUCGGGUUGAAUAUACUAAGGCGCUUGAGUGAUUCACGGUUAAGGAACUAGGCAAAUUGACCCUGUAACUUCGGGAUAAAGGGUCCCAACGAGAGUUGGGCGCAGAGAAUAGGUCCAGGCAACUGUUUAACAAAAACACAGGGCUGUGCCAAAUUGAAAGAUUACGUAUACAGCCUGACACCUGCCCGGUGCUGGAAGGUUAAGAGGAGAUGUCAUCGCAAGAGAAGCAUUGAAUUGAAGCCCCAGUAAACGGCGGCCGUAACUAUAACGGUCCUAAGGUAGCGAAAUUCCUUGUCGGGUAAGUUCCGACCUGCACGAAUGGUGUAAUGAUCUGGACGCUGUCUCAACCGUGAGCUCAGUGAAAUUGUAGUAUCGGUGAAGAUGCCGAUUACCCGCGAUGGGACGAAAAGACCCCGUGAACCUUUACUAUAGCUUAACAUUGAAUUUGGGUAAUUGAUGUGUAGGAUAGGCCGGAGACUUCGAAGCAGGUACGCCAGUAUUUGUGGAGUCGCUGUUGAAAUACGGCCCUUUGAUUAUUUGAGUUCUAACUCGUGGUACGAGGACACUGUUUGGUGGGUAGUUUGACUGGGGUGGUCGCCUCCAAAAUAGUAACGGAGGCUUCUAAAGGUGCCCUCAGGACGAUUGGUAACCGUCCGCAGAGUGUAAUGGCAUAAGGGCGCUUGACUGGGAGACUUACAAGUCGAUCAGGUAGGAAACUAGAGCAUAGUGAUCCGGUGUUUCCGUAUGGAAGGGACAUCGCUCAAAGGAUAAAAGGUACUCCGGGGAUAACAGGCUGAUCCCUCCCAAGAGCUCAUAUCGACGGAGGGGUUUGGCACCUCGAUGUCGGCUCGUCACAUCCUGGGGCUGGAGAAGGUCCCAAGGGUUGGGCUGUUCGCCCAUUAAAGUGGCACGCGAGCUGGGUUCAGAACGUCGUGAGACAGUUCGGUCUCUAUCUAUCGUGGGCGUAUGAAAUUUGCGUGGCUCUGACACUAGUACGAGAGGACCGUGUUGGACUGACCGCUGGUUUACCAGUUGUGCCGCCAGGUGCAUUGCUGGGUAUCUAAGUCGGGAUUGGAUAAGUGCUGAAAGCAUCUAAGUACGAAGCCAGCCACAAGAUUAGAUUUCUUAGGGUCGUUAAAGACGAUGACGUUGAUAGGAUGCAGGUGUAAAGGUGGUAACAUCAAAGCCGAGCAUUACUAAUUGCCCGUUCACUUUCUU